rnacentral:rRNA from 1 species
UACGUAGGGUGCGAGCGUUAAUCGGAAUUACUGGGCGUAAAGCGUGCGCAGGCGGUUUUGUAAGCCAGAUGUGAAAUCCCCGGGCUUAACCUGGGAAUGGCAUUUGGGACUGCAAGGCUUGAGUGCGCCAGAGGAGACUAGAAUUCCUGGUGUAGCAGUGAAAUGCGUAGAUAUCAGGAGGAAUACCGAUGGCGAAGGCAGGUCUCUGGGCUGACACUGACGCUCAUGCACGAAAGCGUGGGGAGCAAACAGG